UACGUAGGGACCAAGCGUUGUUCGGAUUUACUGGGCGUAAAGGGCGCGUAGGCGGCGCGGUAAGUCACUUGUGAAAUCUCUGAGCUUAACUCAGAACGGCCAAGUGAUACUGCAGUGCUAGAGUGUGGAAGGGGCAAUCGGAAUUCUUGGUGUAGCGGUGAAAUGCGUAGAUAUCAGGAAGAACACCGAUGGCGAAGGCAGCUCUCUGGGACGGUACUGACGCUGAGACGCGAAAGCGUGGGGAGCGAACAGG
rnacentral:rRNA from 1 species